rnacentral:rRNA from 1 species
CAGUAGCCGCGGUAAUACGAAGGAUGCAAGCGUUACUCGGAAUUACUGGGCGUAAAGCGUGCGUAGGUGGUGGUUUAAGUCCGUUGUGAAAGCCCUGGGCUCAACCUGGGAAUUGCAGUGGAUACUGGGUCACUAGAGUGUGGUAGAGGAUAGUGGAAUUUCCGGUGUAGCAGUGAAAUGCGUAGAGAUCGGAAGGAACAUCUGUGGCGAAGGCGACUAUCUGGGCCAACACUGACACUGAGGCACGAAAGCGUGGGGAGCGAACAGGAUUAGAUACCCCGGUAGUCCCUGUCUCUUAUAC